AGCAUCUUCAACCUUUAAAGAAGCCAAUUCCCUUAAUCCCAUUUCAACUGAAAGCAUACUCUCAAUAUUUCCUUCUCCUGUUAGGUCACUCAUAUCACGAGCAGGUUUACUCCUAUCUGGAUCAUCACCACCUGUGUCCAAAGACUCCUCCUUAGCCUUUUGUCCAGCAGAAAUGACAACUUCAAAUGGAAGAGGAGCUAGAGCAGACCAAUGCUCAUG
rnacentral:misc_RNA from 1 species